rnacentral:rRNA from 1 species
AGUGAACGUUGGCGGUAGGCCUAACACAUGCAAGUCGAACGGCAGCACAGUAAGAGCUUGCUCUUACGGGUGGCGAGUGGCGGACGGGUGAGGAAUACAUCGGAAUCUACUUUUUCGUGGGGGAUAACGUAGGGAAACUUACGCUAAUACCGCAUACGACCUACGGGUGAAAGCAGGGGAUCUUCGGACCUUGCGCGAUUGAAUGAGCCGAUGUCGGAUUAGCUAGUUGGCGGGGUAAAGGCCCACCAAGGCGACGAUCCGUAGCUGGUCUGAGAGGAUGAUCAGCCACACUGGAACUGAGACACGGUCCAGACUCCUACGGGAGGCAGCAGUGGGGAAUAUUGGACAAUGGGCGCAAGCCUGAUCCAGCCAUACCGCGUGGGUGAAGAAGGCCUUCGGGUUGUAAAGCCCUUUUGUUGGGAAAGAAAAGCAGCAGGUUAAUACCCCGCUGUUCUGACGGUACCCAAAGAAUAAGCACCGGCUAACCUCGUG